AGAGUUUGAUCCUGGCUCAGGACGAACGCUGGCGGCGUGCCUAACACAUGCAAGUCGAACGGGGUGAGGCCCUUCGGGACCUUUACCUAGUGGCGAACGGGUGAGUAACGCGUGAGGAACCUGCCUUUCAGUGGGGGACAACAGUUGGAAACGACUGCUAAUACCGCAUGAAGCUUUUGGGAGACAUCUCCUGAAAGCCAAAGCUUAAUGUGCUGAAAGAUGGCCUCGCGUCUGAUUAGCUAGUUGGUGGGGUAACGGCCCACCAAGGCGACGAUCAGUAGCCGGUCUGAGAGGAUGAACGGCCACAUUGGGACUGAGAUACGGCCCAGACUCCUACGGGAGGCAGCAGUGGGGAAUAUUGGGCAAUGGGCGAAAGCCUGACCCAGCAACGCCGCGUGAAGGAAGAAGGCCUUCGGGUUGUAAACUUCUUUUACCAGGGACGAAGGACGUGACGGUACCUGGAGAAAAAGCAACGGCUAACUACGUGCCAGCAGCCGCGGUAAUACGUAGGUUGCAAGCGUUGUCCGGAUUUACUGGGUGUAAAGGGCGUGUAGGCGGAGAUGCAAGUUAGGAGUGAAAUCUAUGGGCUCAACCCAUAAACUGCUUCUAAAACUGUAUCCCUUGAGUAUCGGAGAGGCAAGCGGAAUUCCUAGUGUAGCGGUGAAAUGCGUAGAUAUUAGGAGGAACACCAGUGGCGAAGGCGGCUUGCUGGACGACAACUGACGCUGAGGCGCGAAAGCGUGGGGAGCAAACAGGAUUAGAUACCCUGGUAGUCCACGCUGUAAACGAUGAAUACUAGGUGUGGGGGGACUGACCCCCUCCGUGCCGCAGUUAACACAAUAAGUAUUCCACCUGGGGAGUACGACCGCAAGGUUGAAACUCAAAGGAAUUGACGG
rnacentral:rRNA from 1 species